GUGUUGUAUGAAAGGAGAGAAGGUUAGCCCUCCCCUUGACAAGGAUGGAAGAGACUCUCAGGCCUGACAACAUGCAUGCAGUUGAGGCAUUUCCACCUACUUUGUGACAUCUAAUCUCUGUU